ACAGAGGGGGCAAGCGUUGCUCGGAAUCACUGGGCGUAAGGGGCGCGUAGGCGGGAUGGCAAGUCAGUCGUGAAAUCUCUCGGCUCAACCGAGAAACGUCGGCUGAUACUGCCGUUCUUGAGGGAUGCAGAGGGGACUGGAAUUCCCGGUGUAGCGGUGAAAUGUGUAGAUAUCUGGAGGAACACCGGUGGCGAAGGCGGCAUCCUGGACCGGUAUUGACGCUGAGGCGCGAAAGCCAGGGGAGCAGACGGGA
rnacentral:rRNA from 1 species